rnacentral:misc_RNA from 1 species
UAACCUCACCCCGAGAAUUCUUUUUCGGGAGUGGACUUGGAUGUUGCCGUCUCAUCGCGGCUCGUCUUGAAUGUCUCAGCGUGCCCCAUUUGUCGGUGUAUACAGCGUGAUAGGUAUCUUCGCUGGUCAGCUUCUUCGGAGGCGCACCCUCGAGUGAAAAGGUGUGCUACCAACCGUCCUCGGACAAUCUUUGACA